rnacentral:rRNA from 1 species
GACGAACGCUGGCGGCGUGCUUAACACAUGCAAGUCGAACGGAAAGGCCCUGCUUUUGUGGGGUGCUCGAGUGGCGAACGGGUGAGUAACACGUGAGUAACCUGCCCUUGACUUUGGGAUAACUUCAGGAAACUGGGGCUAAUACCGGAUAGGAGCUCCUGCUGCAUGGUGGGGGUUGGAAAGUUUCGGCGGUUGGGGAUGGACUCGCGGCUUAUCAGCUUGUUGGUGGGGUAGUGGCUUACCAAGGCUUUGACGGGUAGCCGGCCUGAGAGGGUGACCGGCCACAUUGGGACUGAGAGACGGCCCAGACUCCUACGGGAGGCAGCAGUGGGGAAUAUUGCACAAUGGGCGGAAGCCGGAUGCAGCAACGCCGCGUGCGGGAUGACGGCCUUCGGGUUGUAAACCGCUUUCGCCUGUGACGAAGCGUGAGUGACGGUAAUGGGUAAAGAAGCACCGGCUAACUACGUG